rnacentral:lncRNA from 1 species
CGAAAUAACAAUCUCAAAGAUUAAUUGAACUAAGUGAUGGAAGUUCUCUCUUAUCGGGUGGUAUCCCAGGGGCAUAAGCCUAGCAUGGGUCGAUCCCUAUUUAUGUGUUUAUGGGUGGUAUCCCAGGGGCAUAAGCCUAGCAUGGGUCGAUCCCAGUUGAUAUGUACUGGAGGCAGCCUAAUGGUCACAGUACAGUACAGUAAUGAUUACAAAGACGAUAAGAACGAAGGUAAAGUGAUUGAAUAAAUACAAUGUACAGGUUGUCACAAGUUUUAGUAAGUGUGGUCCACUCCUAUUACGACUUAUUCACUUGUUUCUGAUUUCUAUUGAGCUCCUAUAUCAUAUGUGAUUAUCUACAGUUUUACAUACUCAGUACAUAUUUCGUACUGACGUCCCUCACGGGGGACCUGCAUUUCAUGCUGCAGGCACAGGUACCUCAGCUCAUACACCGCACAAGUAGGAGCCAGGUCAUACAGCUAUUGUUGGUGAGCUCCAGUUUGCUUCGGAGCUUUUCGAGUCGGUUCCUUAUGUUUUGUUAUUGUACAUGAGUCAUGUGUGGGCGGGGGUUUGUCCCGACCCUAGUUAUGUCAUGUAUAUCCUAGAGGCUUUGUAGACAUAAGGAAGGGUAAAGUCAUGGAAGUUUAUAUAGUAAUGUUAUAUUUGUAUAUGUGG